GCCCGGCUAGCUCAGUUGGUAGAGUAUAAGAUUGUUAAUUUCAGGGUUGUGGGUUUGAGCCCCACAUUGGGCA